rfam:Picea glauca, whole genome shotgun sequence.
AUAAUCGUAGAAAGGAGAGAUGGUUGGCAUCUCCCUCGACUAGGAUGGGAACACUCUUUAGACAUUAUAUCACAUACGGUUAAGGCAUGGAGGAGAGGUAGGUAGCAUGAUAGGUAUUGUGUGAUUUCUUUUA